rnacentral:tRNA from 1 species
UCCCUCAUGGUCCAGUGUGGUAAAACUCUGCACUUCCAAUGCAGGGAGCCCAGGUUCAAUCCCUGGUCUGGGAG